GGCCUGAUGGUCUAGUAGUAUGAUUCGCCCUUAGGGUUCAAUGAAAUUCAUUGGGCGAGGUCCCGGGUUCAAUUCCCGGUUAGGCCC
rnacentral:tRNA from 1 species